rnacentral:piRNA from 1 species
UAGAAAGGCAGAGGGAAAGAGAAGA